GAUGUCAACUAGCCGUUGGAAUCCUUGAGAUUUUAGUGGCGCAGCUAACGCAUUAAGUUGACGCCUGGGGAGUACGGCCGCAAGGUUAAAACUCAAAUGAAUUGACGGGGGCCCGCACAAGCGGUGGAGCAUGUGGUUUAAUUCGAAGCAACGCGAAGAACCUUACCUGGCCUUGACAUGCUGAGAACUUUCCAGAGAUGGAUUGGUGCCUUCGGGAACUCAGACACAGGUGCUGCAUGGCUGUCGUCAG
rnacentral:rRNA from 1 species